rnacentral:rRNA from 1 species
GACGUAGGGUGCGAGCGUUGUCCGGAAUUAUUGGGCGUAAAGAGUGUGUAGGCGGUGCUCCAAGUCUGUUGUGAAAUCUCCCGGCUUAACUGGGAGGGUGCGGCGGAAACUGGAAUGCUAGAGGGUGGGAGAGGUAAGCGGAAUUCCUGGUGUAGCGGUGAAAUGCGUAGAUAUCAGGAGGAACACCUGUGGUGUAGACAGCUUACUGGACCACUUCUGACGCUGAGACACGAAAGCUAGGGGAGCAAACAGG